UACGUAGGGGGCUAGCGUUGCUCGGAAUCACUGGGCGUAAGGCGCACGUAGGCGGCUUGUUAAGUCAGGGGUGAAAUCCUGGAGCUCAACUCCAGAACUGCCUUUGAUACUGGCGAGCUUGAGUCCGGGAGAGGUGAGUGGAACUGCGAGUGUAGAGGUGAAAUUCGUAGAUAUUCGCAAGAACACCAGUGGCGAAGGCGGCUCACUGGCCCGGUACUGACGCUGAGGUGCGAAAGCGUGGGGAGCAAACAGG
rnacentral:rRNA from 1 species